rnacentral:lncRNA from 1 species
CCCAUGUGGGGACAUGAGAGAAGCCUCCCACAGGAUGGUAACACAUCUGGGCAUCCCCUGGUCAAUGUCUCUAUAGACGGCUGAUUCUGUCACACCAGAAGCAACUUGCAGGAUAUUCUCAAUUUGCUUCUGACACGAUUUUUAAAAAAUCACAUAUUUCAAAUAGGAUAGAUGUAUGACAUCUAAUUUAGAUUGUUUCUGAAUUGUGUGACAAGCUAUUAACAAUAGUGCAUAAGUAUUUUAAAAAAUAACUCAUGCUCCUGGCAAAAAUAGAGCUGAGCAGUAACAAAUUGAUAAUCGUGCACCAGGUUCAUCCUUUGCAUUUAGGAUUAUUUUUUAUUUACAUUUUUUAAAAUUUUAAUAUUAUCCUUUGUUAUCUUAAUUUUCUGGGAGCAAUGUGAAUGUUAUUACAGUUCAUUUUAAUAAAUAAUUUUAUAAUAACACGCUUCAAGGCAUCUUAUUUACAACAGAAUCUUUAUUUACAUUAUUUACCUUGUUAUAGGUUGUAGGUAGAAAUAUAGAAAUAUGCAGGCAGUCCCCAAGUUAUGGAUAGUUCUGUAGAUUAGUUCAUAAGUUUAAUUUGUAUGUAAGUCGGAAUAAGUACAUUUUUUAAGUAUGACACUCUGGCUAGGCUGGCUUUUACAUUAUUAUAAUUUCAUGUUGCAAAUUGUUUGAUUUUAACUUCCUGUUGUAUAAUGUUUAGGGUCGUAAUUUAAUUUUUGUGAUUUUCUGUUCAAAUUUUUACAGUUACUGUCUUUUGAUAUUGGCAUUGAAUAUUUGCCUGUGUUUGUUGGAAACUACUCCGUGUCUUCACGGGACGGUAGGGCAAAAUAUAAAUAAAGUUGUUGUUGUUAUUAUUAUUAUUAUUAUUAUUAUUAUUAUUAUUAUUAUUAUUAAGUGUAACCCCAGCAAAAUAAAUAAAUAAAUACAUAAAUAGCUUUGGCUAGCAUUGAUGAACCACUUGAUGAACCAACCUGGACAUAGCAUAUUAUUUGAGAACACAGAAACCAUUAAAAUGAACAACAUCUGGCUACCAGUAUUUAAAAACUCCAAAAUCAGAACAGUAAAUAAAGGAUUUAUCCUAACAAAGGAUCUCCCCAGGCAGGAAGCAGCUAGGCUUUGAAGCUGUAAGUCUAUUCAGUGCUAAUCAAGCCGGCCAAUUGCAACAUUCACAGCUCAAACAGACCCACCCUGGACAUUCCACAGAUACAUAAACCCCACUUGCCUAGUUUCCAACUGAUCACACAACCUCUGAGGAUGCCUGCCAUAGAUGUGGGUGAAACUUCAGGAGAGAAUGCUUCUGGAACAUGGCCAUACAGCCUGGGAAACUCACAGCAACACAAAUUUAGGAACAUUUGAUGUAGACCCAUAAAAUGCAGUUUGAACUUUAUUAUAUGGCUCGACAUUGACCAUAUAAUGCAUUAUUUGGCUGUGUAGAUCCAGCUAGAAAGGAGCCAACCUCACAUGGGAACUCACAUAGAUGGCAAUUAGAUGCAUUUUAAACAGUCCCCCGGUGGCGCAGUGUAUUAAACCGCUGAGCUGCUGAACUUGGUCGAUGGUUUGAAUCUGAGGACUGGAGUGAGCUCCCGUUGUUGCCAGCUUCUGCCAACCUAGCAAUUUGAAAACAUGCCAAUGUGAGUAGAUCAAUAGGUACUGCUCUGAAGAUAAUGGCGCUCUAUGCAGUCAUGCCGGCCACAUGACCUUGGAGGUGUUUACGGACAACGCCAGCUCUUUGGCAUAGAAAUGGAGAUGAGCACCAACCCCCAGUGUCAGACAUGACUGGACUUAAUGUCAGGGGGAAACCUUUACCUUUAGUUUUUAAGACUUCUCCAAAUGUUGGGAUGAGAUUUUGCAUUCACUUUUUGUAUCUUACUCUUCAGGGCCCCUGGUGGUGGCGCAGUGGUUAAAGCACUGAGCUGCUGAACUUGCAGACCGAAAGGUCCCAGGUUCAAAUCCCAGGAGCGGAAUGAGCAGCCGCUGUUAGCCCCGGCUCCUGCCAACCUAGCAGUUCGAAAACAUGCCAAUGUGAGUAGAUCAAUAGGUACCGCUCCAGCGGGAAGGUAAUGCAGUCAUGCCAGCCGCAUGACCUUGGAGGUGUCUACAGACAACGCCGGCUCUUCGGCUUAGAAAUGGAGAUGAGCACCAACCCCCAGAGUCGGUCACGACUGGACUUAACGUCAGGG